rnacentral:rRNA from 1 species
CGGGGUGCAGCAGGCGCGAAAACUUUGCAAUACACGAAAGUGUGACAGGGUCAUCCCGAGUGCCGACCGCUGAGGUUGGCUUUUACCCAGUCUAGAAAGCUGGGGGAAUAAGGAGAGGGCAAGUCUGGUGUCAGCCGCCGCGGUAAUACCAGCUCUCCGAGUGGUGUGGACGUUUAUUGGGCCUAAAGCAUCCGUAGCUGGCUGAACAAGUCCCCUGUUAAACCCACCGAUUUAAUCGUUGGUCUGCGGGGGAUACUGCUCGGCUAGGGGACGAGAGAGGCAGACGGUAUUCCCGGGGUAGGGGUGAAAUCCUAUAAUCCCGAGAAGACCACCAGUGGCGAAGGCUGUCUGCUAGAACGCGCCCGACGGUGAGGGAUGAAAGCUGGGGGAGCGAACCGGAUUAGAUACCCGGGUAGUCCCAGCUGUAAACGAUGCAGACUAGGUGUUUGGACGGCCACGUGCCGUUCUAGUGCCGCAGGGAAGCUGUUAAGUCUGCCGCCUGGGGAGUACGAUCGCAAGAUUGAAACUUAAAGGAAUUGGCGGGGGAGCAC